CCUACGGGAGGCAGCAGUGGGGAAUAUUGGACAAUGGGGGCAACCCUGAUCCAGCCAUGCCGCGUGUGUGAAGAAGGCCCUCGGGUUGUAAAGCACUUUCAGUGAGGAAGAACGCCUGGUGGUUAAUACCCAUCAGGAAAGACAUCACUCACAGAAGAAGCACCGGCUAACUCCGUGCCAGCAGCCGCGGUAAUACGGAGGGUGCGAGCGUUAAUCGGAAUUACUGGGCGUAAAGCGCGUGUAGGUGGCUUGAUAAGCCGGUUGUGAAAGCCCCGGGCUCAACCUGGGAACGGCAUCCGGAACUGUCAAGCUAGAGUGCAGGAGAGGAAGGUAGAAUUCCCGGUGUAGCGGUGAAAUGCGUAGAGAUCGGGAGGAAUACCAGUGGCGAAGGCGGCCUUCUGGACUGACACUGACACUGAGGUGCGAAAGCGUGGGUAGCAAACAGGAUUAGAUACCCCGGUAGUC
rnacentral:rRNA from 1 species